AACCGGCCAUGCCCAGGCCCCCACCCGCCAGGCCGCCAGGCGGCGAGGCGCGGCGCCCAUCUCCAUCUCUCCCUACUCAGCCUCUCCUGCACGCCGCCGCCCAUGGUACCAAACUCGACCGCCAAAGCCCCUGGCCGAGCUCCCCCAUGGCGUCUCCCCCAACCAUGGUGCUCUCUGCUCCUCCACGGCGCUGAGCUCCACCAGCCGCUGCUCUUGAACGCUAGCGCCAACCUCAUCUUUGCUCCUCUCUCCCGCAUCUCUGCAGGUCGCCCAGGUCGUGGCCUCGCCGGAUCCCGCGCGCUCCUGUGUCGUGGCGUUGUCCCCAUGUUUUCUCCGCGCCAGCGCGCCACCGGCUCUACUUGAGCUCCUCCCUCGCCGUAGCUCACAGGUCGCCACCCCAUGGCUGCUGCUCCUCUCUCCCUCAUCUCUGCAACUCGGCGCCUCCUCUACUCCUCCACCUGCAGUUCGCCCCAUGUUCUGGACGCCAACCCUCCAUCCCCCUACCCUCCAGCCAUGGACGCCCUAGCUCCCUUUUGUUGCUCGCUAGGGACCAGCUCGGUGCCCUCUCCUCACUUGAAGCCGGCAACAACGCCUUGGUAGUGGUCGAGCAGCACGUCGUCGGCUCCGUGGGUUUUUUGGGCAGCCCGGUUGCGGUGUCGUCAAACCCCGCUUGCAGUUCAACAGUUGAAUUUCAUCGAGUCCCAGCCAGUUUGAUUAUAUGAACCAGAGGCAAGCCAGGAUGCCCUAGGUGUGGAUCUCUGUUAGGCUGUGAAGCCUUUUUUAUCAUAAAGUCACUGCCUUCUCCAUUCUUGUUUGCCUAUAUUUUUGUGAGAUAUAGCCUGCCCGAGAGAGGGAGUUUUUAAAAGCGGUACAUAAAUGUGUUUCUGGUGGAGGUAAAGUUCUAAUUCCAACGUUUGCUCUGGGAAGAGCUCAGGUAUUGUAGUUCUCUUAAUUCUACUUUAUGAGACAAAGUGAUGGUUAAGUGUGAUAACUAUAUAUGACUUAAAUGAGCAAGUUUCCCUGAGAAGUACCAUUCUGAGGGCACACUGUUCGAAGGUUUCAUAAUUUGUGAUGACUUGUUCCACUUUUUAAAAAAAUCAGUAGAGUUGUCUGGACAGCUAACCUCUUGACUGCUUAUGUUUGAUUUGUAUUUGAUAUGUGCUUUUAAUUAUUUAUUAACUAGCAGUAGACUCCUAAUUCCAUGCUUGGUUAAUUACUCUGAACUUAAACUAGCUAAAUAUAGCUUAUGCAAGUUCUUAGACUGGCACAUAUCACUUGCAUCCACUGCCUGUAGCCCUGUACAUGCAAAAAUUCGUGUUAGUAGUAUGUAAUGGCCCUAGCUACAACUGCAAAUAGUACAAGGGAUAGCAGUAGAGAAAACAAAUGCGGUGAGAAUGAGAAUCAAGGUAAGUUGGCUUGCAAGCUUCUAUGCAAGUGUUUCCUGUAUCCAUAACUCUGCAAAAGUUUUGGCUAGGAUAGGAAUCAAAGGGAGAGCUAAUUCUUCCAUUGACUUGCUAGUUUGGUGGUACUCCCAACAGAAACUAAAUUGCAAGGUAAUGAACUUAACUUUAUAUAUUCCGUUUUGUGGUACUCCCAACAGAAUCUAAAAUUGCAAGGUAAUUGCAAGUGUUCUUUGCUAAUCCUCUUGACUGGUGGGAUAACAGGACAAAUAAGGUUAGACUGGGAUUGUUCAAAGUUAUAACCACUUGUCAUUUACAUGGUAACAGUUUACCUCGCAUCUGAAUAAUAAACCUUCCUUUUGAGCGCAUUCUAAUUAGCAAACAUAAAAAAACAGAGAACACAUGAGAACUCAAGAACUAAAUAAAAAAAGUUCAAAUAUUUACUGAGGGAGAGGGAUAUAUGGUCAGUAGAGUGGGUGAAUAUUGAGACGGAAAUAAUAAACAGCCAAAUGAGUUAUGAAAGGUAUUAUUGUUUUUCUAGUGAUUUAAUGCAGACGGAAAUAAUAAACAACCAAAUGAGUUAUGAAAGGUAUUAUUGUUUUUCUAGUGAUUUAAUGCAUAUUUUGUGUGUCUUUUUAUCAUGAUCCAUAUGACGUUUAAUCUGAGUAACAUGUUACUUGCACGAUUUUUUCUGAUGAUUGAUACUUAUAUGACUGACUAUUCACCCUUUAAAAUUAUUGCAGUUUACCAGGAUACAUAUUUUUGUAAUUGUUUGUGACAUGUUAGUCUUUUGUUUAACCUAUGUUCAUCCAUAGGGUUCUGCAAAACAUCCUUUUGUGAAAUGAUCCUCGACCGUCAAUUCUUUUAAAUGUUCCCUAGUAAAAUGAUUUAUUCUUGAUGGUUCAAAAGUUUCCCUAUUCCUUGGAUGUAUCAUAUGCAUCGGGGAUGUCAUAUUGAAGAAUCAGUAUAAUAAUAUGGACUAUUUGGAGGGGUCUUUAAAUGAGCUUGGAAGUUGGUGCAUAAGGCUGCAACACCGUCUAGUGAGGGUGUUUUGGACAAAGAAAACUUGUACCUUAAAACAGGAGGAUACAAGAAGCUGGAGUGGUUGUCUGAAGGCUUUUGAACUGCUUGAAGCAUUAGUGUAGCUUUGGUGCUUUUGUGACUGAUCAACUCUGGAGCAGCUAGAGUGAUGUAGUUGUGGGCUUUUGAACAAUAGCUGGAGUGAUAUGAAAUAUUAGUGAUGUAGUUGUGGGCUUUUGAACUGCUUCAAGCUGGAGUGAUGUCGUUGUGGUGCUUUUGUGACUGAUCAUCUCUGGAGCUUUUGUGAAUGAUCUAGCUAGCUAUCUGUAAAUGAUCUAGUCGUGAAUGAUAUUAUAAUUGUGAUGCUUUUGUGAAUAUAUAAUUGUGGUGCUUUUGUGUUUAUGUGA